UAAACUACGAUUAGAUACCCUAUUAUUUUGAAUGUAAAGUGUUGAUACUUGAGUAGUAUAAGUUAUGGUCUUGAAACUCAAAGAAUUUGGCGGUGUUUUAGUCCUUUCAGAGGAACCUGCCCUAUAAUCGAUAUUCCACGGUAUACCUUACUUAGUUUUGUUAAUCAGUCUGUAUAUCGCCGUCGUCAGAAUGUCCUAAAAGGGUUUAAAUUUUCUUUAAUUAGAAUACUUAAAUGAUGUCAGGUCAAGGUGCAGUUUAUGGCUGAGUAUGAGGUGGGUUACAAUAAAUUUAUUUAUUACGGAUGCUUGCUUGAAAAUUAGUAGGUUGAAGGUGGAUUUGAAUGUAAUUGUGUAUAGGAUAAUAUGUUGAUUUUGGCUCUAAAACAUGCACACAUCGCCCGUCGCUCUUA
rnacentral:rRNA from 1 species